rnacentral:misc_RNA from 1 species
GAUGAAGAACGCAGCGAAAUGCGAUAAGUAGUGUGAAUUGCAGAAUUCAGUGAAUCAUCGAAUCUUUGAACGCACAUUGCGCCCCUUGGUAUUCCAUGGGGCAUGCCUGUUCGAGCGUCAUUUGUACCUUCAAGCUCUGCUUGGUGUUGGGUGUUUGUCUCGCCUCUGCGUGUAGACUCGCCUCAAAACAAUUGGCAGCCGGCGUAUUGAUUUCGGAGCGCAGUACAUCUCGCGCUUUGCACUCAUAACGACGACGUCCAAAAGUACAUUUUUACACUCUUGACCUCGGAUCAGGUAGGGAUACCCGCUGAACUUAAGCAUAUCAAUAAGCGGAGG